rnacentral:rRNA from 1 species
UACGUAGGGGGCAAGCGUUGUCCGGAUUUAUUGGGCGUAAAGAGCGUGUAGGCGGCCAGACAGGUCCGUUGUGAAAACUCGAGGCUCAACCUCGAGACGCCGAUGGAAACCGUCUGGCUAGAGUCCGGAAGAGGAGAGUGGAAUUCCUGGUGUAGCGGUGAAAUGCGCAGAUAUCAGGAGGAACACCGAUGGCGAAGGCAGGUCUCUGGGCCACUACUGACGCUGAGAAGCGAAAGCAUGGGGAGCGAACAGG